AAAAACUGGUUAAUAUUCCAGUACCGAAAUAAGAUGCGAUGUGGGGACGGAGAAGGUUAACUCGGCCGGGUGUUGGAAGUCCCGGUUCAAGCGUGUAGACGUGCUGCUUAGGCAAAUCCGGGCGGCUUAGUUGAGGCGUGAUAACGAGCGGUCUCGUACCGCGAAGUGAGUGAUACCCUGCUUCCAGGAAAAGCCACUAAGCUUCAGUCUUAUUUUGACCGUACCGCAAACCGACACAGGUGGGCGGGAUGAAUAUUCUCAGGCGCUUGAGAGAACUCAGGAGAAGGAACUCGGCAAAUUAGCACCGUAACUUCGGGAGAAGGUGCGCCCCUAGUCAGUGAAGGCCCUCGCGGCUGGAGCUAAAUGGGGUUGCAGUGAAUUGGUGGCUGCGACUGUUUAAUAAAAACACAGCACUCUGCAAACACGAAAGUGGACGUAUAGGGUGUGACGCCUGCCCGGUGCCGGAAGGUUAAUUGAUGGGGUGCAAGCUCUUGAUCGAAGCCCCGGUAAACGGCGGCCGUAACAAUAACGGUCCUAAGGUAGCGAAAUUCCUUGUCGGGUAAGUUCCGACCCGCACGAAUGGCGUAACGAUGGCCACACUGUCUCCUCCUGAGACUCAGCGAAGUUGAAAUGUUUGUGAAGAUGCAAUCUCCCCGCGGCUAAACGGAAAGACCCCGUGCACCUUUACUGUAGCUUUGCAUUGGACUUUGAUGAGAUUUGUGUAGGAUAGGUGGGAGACUAUGAAGUGGUGACGCUAGUUGCCAUGGAGUCGUCCUUGAAAUACCACCCUGAUGUCAUUGAGGUUCUAACCGAGGUCCCUAAUCGGGAUCCGGGACCGUGCAUGGUAGGCAGUUUGACUGGGGCGGUCUCCUCCCAAAGUGUAACGGAGGAGUACGAAGGUACGCUAGGUACGGUCGGACAUCGUGCUGAUAGUGCAAUGGCAUAAGCGUGCUUGACUGCGAGACUGACAAGUCGAGCAGGUGCGAAAGCAGGUCAUAGUGAUCCGGUGGUUCUGAAUGGAAGGGCCAUCGCUCAACGGAUAAAAGGUACGCCGGGGAUAACAGGCUGAUUCCUCCCAAGAGUUCAUAUCGACGGGGGAGUUUGGCACCUCGAUGUCGGCUCAUCACAUCCUGGGGCUGUAGCCGGUCCCAAGGGUAUGGCUGUUCGCCAUUUAAAGUGGUACGUGAGCUGGGUUUAAAACGUCGUGAGACAGUUUGGUCCCUAUCUGCCGUGGGCGUUGGAUAUUUGAGAGGGCCUGCUCCUAGUACGAGAGGACCGGAGUGGACGCACCGCUGGUGUACCGGUUAUGACGCCAGUCGUAUCGCCGGGUAGCUAAGUGCGGAAGAGAUAACCGCUGAAAGCAUCUAAGCGGGAAACUCGCCUCAAGAUAAGAUAUCCCCAGGCUUUAAGCCUGCUAAAGGGUCGUUCGAGACCAGGACGUUGAUAGGUCGGGUGUGGAAGCGCAGUAAUGCGUUAAGCUAACCGAUACUAAUUGCCCGUGUGGCUUGAUCCC
rnacentral:rRNA from 1 species